rnacentral:rRNA from 1 species
UACGGAGGAUGCGAGCGUUAUCCGGAUUUAUUGGGUUUAAAGGGUGCGUAGGCGGAUCGUUAAGUCAGUGGUCAAAUUGAGGGGCUCAACACCUUCCCGCCAUUGAAACUGGCGAUCUUGAGUGGAAGAGAAGUAUGCGGAAUGCGUGGUGUAGCGGUGAAAUGCAUAGAUAUCACGCAGAACCCCGAUUGCGAAGGCAGCAUGCCGGCUUCCUACUGACGCUGAAGCACGAAAGCGUGGGGAUCGAACAGG